GAUGAACGCUAGCGGCAGGCCUAAUACAUGCAAGUCGGACGGGAUUGGAGAGCUUGCUUUCCAUGAGAGUGGCGCACGGGUGCGUAACACGUAUGUAACCCACCUUGUUCAGGGGGAUAGCCUCUCGAAAGAGAGAUUAAGACCGCAUAACAUUGCGAUGUGGCAUCACAUUGUAAUCAAAUAUUUAUAGGAACAAGAUGGGCAUGCGGAACAUUAGCUAGUUGGUAAGGUAACGGCUUACCAAGGCUACGAUGUUUAGGGGAUCUGAGAGGAUGACCCCCCACAAUGGUACUGAGACACGGACCAGACUCCUACGGGAGGCAGCAGUAAGGAAUAUUGGUCAAUGGGCGGAAGCCUGAACCAGCCAUGCCGCGUGCAGGAAGACGGCCCUAUGGGUUGUAAACUGCUUUUGCAGGGGAAUAAACCUUGGUACGUGUACCAAGCUGAAUGUACUCUGAGAAUAAGGAUCGGCUAACUCCGUGCCAGCCGCCGCUGUAA
rnacentral:rRNA from 1 species